CAGCUCGUUACCUUUCGAAGUCCUGUAAUUGGAAUGAGUACACUUUAAAUCCUUUAAUGAGGAUCUAUUGGAGGGCAAGUCUGAUGCUAGCAGCCGCUGUAAUUCCAGCUCCAA